rnacentral:lncRNA from 1 species
UCAUGUCCUCAAUUGUUUUAACACCCUUAACAAUCCACACCUUAUUUUUAUUCGUCUACCUAAUAAUCUAACGCCCCAAUAAUUUCAAAUCGAAUAAAAAAUUAGUUCUGAUUAGAAUAUAUGAGGCCUCACAUACUAGCAAUAAUAACGGAAGGUACAAGUAAAAAUCGAGUUUAGUAAGAAAGUAGAAUUAAGAAAAACCGAUUGAUCGUAUUUAGCGCAUUGAUUAAGAAUUUGAUGGUUAGCAUCCGAGAUUUUAAGUUUGAAGGCUAAUUGCUUUAUAUUUCUAACUAAAUUUAUUUUUUAAAAGAAAAUGUACGAAUCAGAUAUCUCCCUACCUUUCUCUCUCUGGAUUUUUUUUUUUUUUUUU